rnacentral:rRNA from 1 species
UUAAGCGACCAAGCGUACACGGUGGAUGCCCUGGCAGUCAGAGGCGAUGAAGGACGUGCUAAUCUGCGAAAAGCGCCGGUAAGGUGAUAUGAACCGUUAUAACCGGCGAUGUCCGAAUGGGGAAACCCAGUGUGACUCGUCACACUAUCAUUAACUGAAUCCAUAGGUUAAUGAGGCGAACCGGGGGAACUGAAACAUCUAAGUACCCCGAGGAAAAGAAAUCAACCGAGAUUCCCCCAGUAGCGGCGAGCGAACGGGGAGGAGCCCAGAGCCUGAAUCAGCAUGUGUGUUAGUGGAAGCGUCUGGAAAGGCGCGCGAUACAGGGUGAGAGCCCCGUACACAAAAGCGCAUAUGCUGUGAGCUCGAUGAGUAGGGCGGGACACGUGGUAUCCUGUCUGAAUAUGGGGGGACCAUCCUCCAAGGCUAAAUACUCCUGACUGACCGAUAGUGAACCAGUACCGUGAGGGAAAGGCGAAAAGAACCCCGGCGAGGGGAGUGAAACAGAACCUGAAACCGUGUACGUACAAGCAGUGGGAGCCUCUCUUUAUGGGGGGUGACUGCGUACCUUUUGUAUAAUGGGUCAGCGACUUAUAUUCUGUAGCAAGGUUAACCGCAUAGGGGAGCCGAAGGGAAACCGAGUCUUAAUUGGGCGUUAAGUUGCAGGGUAUAGACCCGAAACCCGGUGAUCUAGCCAUGGGCAGGUUGAAGGUUGGGUAACACUAACUGGAGGACCGAACCGACUAAUGUUGAAAAAUUAGCGGAUGACCUGUGGCUGGGGGUGAAAGGCCAAUCAAACCGGGAGAUAGCUGGUUCUCCCCGAAAGCUAUUUAGGUAGCGCCUCGUGAACUCAUCUCCGGGGGUAGAGCACUGUUUCGGCUAGGGGGCCAUCCCGGCUUACCAACCCGAUGCAAACUGCGAAUACCGGAGAAUGUUAUCACGGGAGACACACGGCGGGUGCUAACGUCCGUCGUGAAGAGGGAAACAACCCAGACCGCCAGCUAAGGUCCCAAAGUCAUGGUUAAGUGGGAAACGAUGUGGGAAGGCCCAGACAGCCAGGAUGUUGGCUUAGAAGCAGCCAUCAUUUAAAGAAAGCGUAAUAGCUCACUGGUUGAGUCGGCCUGCGCGGAAGAUGUAACGGGGCUAAACCAUGCACCGAAGCUGCGGCAGCGACACUUUAGUGUUGUUGGGUAGGGGAGCGUUCUGUAAGCCGUUGAAGGUGUCCUGUGAGGGGUGCUGGAGGUAUCAGAAGUGCGAAUGCUGACAUAAGUAACGAUAAAGCGGGUGAAAAGCCCGCUCGCCGGAAGACCAAGGGUUCCUGUCCAACGUUAAUCGGGGCAGGGUGAGUCGACCCCUAAGGCGAGGCCGAAAGGCGUAGUCGAUGGGAAACGGGUUAAUAUUCCCGUACUUGGUGUUACUGCGAAGGGGGGACGGAGAAGGCUAUGUUGGCCGGGCGACGGUUGUCCCGGUUUAAGCGUGUAGGCUGGUUUUCCAGGCAAAUCCGGAAAAUCAAGGCUGAGGCGUGAUGACGAGGCACUACGGUGCUGAAGCAACAAAUGCCCUGCUUCCAGGAAAAGCCUCUAAGCAUCAGGUAACAUCAAAUCGUACCCCAAACCGACACAGGUGGUCAGGUAGAGAAUACCAAGGCGCUUGAGAGAACUCGGGUGAAGGAACUAGGCAAAAUGGUGCCGUAACUUCGGGAGAAGGCACGCUGACACGUAGGUGAAGUGAUUUACUCAUGGAGCUGAAGUCAGUCGAAGAUACCAGCUGGCUGCAACUGUUUAUUAAAAACACAGCACUGUGCAAACACGAAAGUGGACGUAUACGGUGUGACGCCUGCCCGGUGCCGGAAGGUUAAUUGAUGGGGUCAGCGCAAGCGAAGCUCCUGAUCGAAGCCCCGGUAAACGGCGGCCGUAACUAUAACGGUCCUAAGGUAGCGAAAUUCCUUGUCGGGUAAGUUCCGACCUGCACGAAUGGCGUAAUGAUGGCCAGGCUGUCUCCACCCGAGACUCAGUGAAAUUGAACUCGCUGUGAAGAUGCAGUGUACCCGCGGCAAGACGGAAAGACCCCGUGAACCUUUACUAUAGCUUGACACUGAACAUUGAGCCUUGAUGUGUAGGAUAGGUGGGAGGCUUUGAAGCGUGGACGCCAGUCUGCGUGGAGCCGACCUUGAAAUACCACCCUUUAAUGUUUGAUGUUCUAACGUGGACCCGUAAUCCGGGUUGCGGACAGUGUCUGGUGGGUAGUUUGACUGGGGCGGUCUCCUCCUAAAGAGUAACGGAGGAGCACGAAGGUUGGCUAAUCCUGGUCGGACAUCAGGAGGUUAGUGCAAUGGCAUAAGCCAGCUUGACUGCGAGCGUGACGGCGCGAGCAGGUGCGAAAGCAGGUCAUAGUGAUCCGGUGGUUCUGAAUGGAAGGGCCAUCGCUCAACGGAUAAAAGGUACUCCGGGGAUAACAGGCUGAUACCGCCCAAGAGUUCAUAUCGACGGCGGUGUUUGGCACCUCGAUGUCGGCUCAUCACAUCCUGGGGCUGAAGUAGGUCCCAAGGGUAUGGCUGUUCGCCAUUUAAAGUGGUACGCGAGCUGGGUUUAGAACGUCGUGAGACAGUUCGGUCCCUAUCUGCCGUGGGCGCUGGAAGACUGAGGGGGGCUGCUCCUAGUACGAGAGGACCGGAGUGGACGCAUCACUGGUGUUCGGGUUGUCAUGCCAAUGGCACUGCCCGGUAGCUAAAUGCGGAAAAGAUAAGUGCUGAAAGCAUCUAAGCACGAAACUUGCCCCGAGAUGAGUCUUCCCUGAGACUUUGAGUCUCCUGAAGGAACGUUAAAGACGAUGACGUUGAUAGGCCGGGUGUGUAAGCGCAGCGAUGCGUUGAGCUAACCGGUACUAAUGAACCGUGAGGCUUAACCUU